GCGCUGUUGGAGUAGUAGUUAACUUACUUCCCUCCCAUUUGGAGUUCAGGAAGUGACGCGGGUGCAAAUCCCGCACAGCGCA